GAUGAAUAACGCAGCGAAAUGCGAUAAGUAAUGUGAAUUGCAGAAUUCAGUGAAUCAUCGAGUCUUUGAACGCACAUUGCGCCCCCUGGUAUUCCGGGGGGCAUGCCUGUCCGAGCGUCAUUGCUGCCCUCAAGCACGGCUUGUGUGUUGGGCCCCCGUCCCCGGUUCUCCCCGGGGACGGGCCCGAAAGGCAGCGGCGGCACCGCGUCCGAUCCUCGAGCGUAUGGGGCUUUGUCACCCGCUCUGUAGGCCCGGCCGGCGCCAGCCGACACCCCAACUUUAUUUUCUAAGGUUGACCUCGGAUCAGGUAGGGAUACCCGCUGAACUUAAGCAUAUCAAUAAGCGGAGGA
rnacentral:misc_RNA from 1 species